rnacentral:misc_RNA from 1 species
GAAAUGCGAUACGUAAUGUGAAUUGCAGAAUUCAGUGAAUCAUCGAAUCUUUGAACGCAUAUUGCGCUCUUUGGUAUUCCGAAGAGCAUGCUUGUUUGAGUAUCAGUAAACACCUCAACCUCUCUUUUUGACAAAAAAAGGGAGGGUGGACUUGAGCUAUCCCAACGACCUUCACCGGUAGGCGGGCGGCUUGAAAUGCAGGUGCAGCUUGAAAUGCAGGUGCAGCUGGACUUUUAUCUGAGCUAAAAGCAUAUCUAUUUAGUCCUCGUCAAACAGGAUUAUUACUUUUGCUGCAGCUAACAUAAAGGAUAAUUGUCCUCUUUGCUGACUGAUGCAGGAUUUUACGACACUUUAUGUGUUGUUCAACUCGAUCUCAAAUCAAGUAAGACUACCCGCUGAA